UAACGCGUGGGUGACGUACCUAUCGGUGGGGAAUAACUGCCCGAAAGGGUGGCUAAUACCGCAUACGUCCACUGCUUCGUGGCAGUGGGGAAAACCGCAAGGUGCCGAUGGAGCGGCCCGCGUUCGAUUAGCUAGUUGGUGGGGUAACGGCCUACCAAGGCGACGAUCGAUAGCUGGUCUCAGAGGAUGAUCAGCCAGACUGGGACUGAGACACGGCCCAG
rnacentral:rRNA from 1 species